GGGGCAAUGUCAAGGUGACCCUGGCCAGAGGGAGCUCAGCUAUCAGCUGGAGCAGCCCAAGAGGGUCCAGGGUUAAACCCACUUAAUGAUUUCUAGGAAGACUUCAAUGACAGGGGGUUGCAGCAGGCUAGAAAGGGCACUGAGAUGCUGCUUCAGCUGUUCAACGAGGGAGGUUUUGCUCCUCCUCAUCAGUCUGCAUUUGUUUCUUGUUUCUGCAGUGUUUGUCAGAGAACUGGGAUCCUGGUCAAGGAAGGCUGUUGUCAGACAGCUGUUUGAUGCAAAGCAGACUGAUAUAUGACGUGGUCCCUGUGGGAAGCUGGGGGAGAUGCACACAGGAGCCAGCCCACCCUCACCUGCCUCCCUUCCCUGUGUCACACUGUGACAUAUUCGCCAUCCUCACGGAGCCUUCUGCCUUCCUUCGGUGCUGAUGGGCCAUCUCCCACCUCUGAGGAGUCUUUGAGGAAGGCAACUUACGUUGCAUCAACAAACAGGCCCUGCCUAAUUUCCCCAUGGGUGUGUAGAAACUAGACGCAACUUCUGGCCACUGGAUGCUGAGAUGAGAAUUUGUCGUGCUAACCAAAUUAACUCCUUGUUGCCUUGUCCCUCUCCAUUUGUUUGCUGUAGACUGCAACAAGCAAAGCUGUGGUGUCCCGGGCUACUCCUUGUUUCAUCCCCACCUUUCACUUCUGCCCCAGUCUUCCAUACAUGCAAGUGGUGAGCGUAUUCCUAUUAACUAAUAACAAAUAAUAUUUGCUUCUCUUAGAUGAGGUACAGAGCAGAAAUCUUGAAUUUUAAAAUGGAACUAUAAACUAUAUUUAAAAUUAAAAAUAUAGUUAUAUAUUUGAUUUAUACAAAUUAUGAAGAAAAAGGGAGAAAGAAUUAAAGACUGACAAUCAGGAAACUUCCUAAAAUCUUGCAGAGAUACUCCAGGCAUCACUUAAAGGACAGAUAAAGACGUGAAUGUAAAUAACACCAGUCUCUGAAGAUUAGGAUUUCUGCCAGGCCCUGUAAUGCCUUAGACCUGUGAUAAGAGCAGUCCUAUCCUCAAGUGGCACAUGGGCCAAUCUAUACCACUAGAAUCAGCAAAAGAUUAGAGAGGAGAACAAAGAGAAGGACAAAGGUAGAAAAAGCAUUAUCCUAUAUAUAUAUAUAUAUUUUUUUUUUCUUUAAGUGCCCAUUUCUCUGAUUGGAAGCCUAAAGCAUGGAGACACACCAGUUCUGCUUGAACUGGUAUCCUGCUACACUUUGGAGUGAGAGAUCUGGUAGAUGUAGCUUCUCUCCCUGAGAAUGACUGCUGUAAAACAGCACUGUCAUCCGUCUGACGCUUCACAGGAAGAUAAUGUGCCAGCUGGAUGUUUAUUGCCCAGUAAACCCCAUGCUGUUCCCUUCAGUUGCUGCUAUAAUGCAAGAGUGAUUGCCGGCACUCAAUGCAUAUGCAGCUCCCUCCUACAGGGACAGGCAGCAGUGUGGGUUUCAGAUGUUUCUUGGCGCCUGCGAUGUGGGGGAAGCCCACCCUUCCUCUCUCAGAUCAGAGGGAGGACAGAUGUUCGUUCACAGUGCUGAUGUGUCCGUCAUCAUUAGGUGUCUUUUUAGAGAAAACUGUGCCAUAACCAUUGCUUUCUUCAUAGUACUUAUCCUCGUGAGUUUCUUGUUCGUUCGAUUGUGUGUUUGCAUGUGCAGUUCUUUUUUAAAGGUACCUUGGCCUCACGCGUGAUAAUAGAUGAUGAUUUUCAUAUCCCUGACUUCCCUCCAGGUUCUGCUAUAUCCCUGUCUUUGGAAACGCAGCUCCCCUCUCUCUUCUCAGAAGUCACAUCCUCCCACAUCCACCCACAUCCACACUCCUGCACACCAGCCCCCUUCCUGCUGCCCUAACUCGCCUUCCUGUGCAGCACCAUCACUGACCCCAGCCUCAGCUGAAGGCUCGUGCAGACUGGCUCUGCUGUUAACUCCGGCCCUAACCUUACUCUCUCAGCUCUGUCCCUCCUCUAUCGGGAUCCCUUUCCCCUGCAGCUCUUUCAAGUCGUGACAACCUUCCCAAAGAAGCUAGAAGAACUUCUGGAAGACAACAGAAGUGGAAUAAGCAAAGUUUCCUCCCUCCGCCCCUUGCUGUUAGCUUCACUGCGCCUUUGGAAGGACUUUGCACUAGAGGAGAUGCUAUUUUUGUCCUGCUUAUGCAGCUAUGCUUGAUGCGAUGAAUAAAGCUGCAGGAGAACAGUCCUCUUGGAGAGGACCCUGAGUGCACUCGGCUAUAUCAUAUUUCCAGGUUGGUGCUUGGGCCUCAACAGUGCUGUCACCACUGGAGACCUCAGGGACAAAUGCAGCCACAGCAGUUUGCCUUUCUUGUCCCUCACCACCUGUGCAUAAGACAUGAAACACAGCGAUCUGAAGAAACUAACAUCGGGGUUUCAUUUGACAUUGCUGAAAAGAUUUGAGGGAAGGAUGUUGGGAGUAAAAUGUUUGUAAAAAUUAGAAAUCAGCAUCCCUUUAAAUAGACCGAGUCUGUUCCUUUCUAAUUGCCAUAUAAUCUUAUACUUCUGACACGGGAGCACAAGUAACUAAUCACUUCUGUAGCCUGGCUGUGAGCUGGGGAUUUAGUGUCUUCCUUCAAAGAGGAUUGCAGGUAACUGACUAACAGUAAGGUAGGACUGCCUGAGAUGACACUAUCCACGCGAGCUGCUCUCCUGGCAACCACAAUCCAAGAAGCAGAAAAUACCGAGAGAAAAGAAUGAGCUGGAAGGAGGAGCUGUUGUUUGAACAUGCGGAUGUUGGACUCUCCCAGAAGACAUCUGCAAAGAUGAAACAAUUGGAGGAAAUUUGUUUUGUGAUAUCCUUUCCCCCUGCAAUGUUUGACCAUCCUGAGGAGAGAAAGGAGGUUUUGAGCGUAUCUGUUUGCAACAUUCUGGUGCUUGAAAGGAUCUUAUAAGCAGGAGGGGGAGCAACUUUUUACGUGCUCUGAUAGUGAUGGGAUGAGAGGGAAGGACUUUGAACUAAAAUAUGUGAAAUAUAAGUUAGAUGAUAGGAGGAAAUUCUUUCCUCAGAGGGCGGUGAGGCGCUGGCACAGCUGCCCAGAGAAGCUGUGGUGCCCCAUCCCUGGAGGCGCUCAAGGCCAGGUUGGAUGGGGCCCUGGGCAGCCUGAGCUGGUGGGGGGCAGCCCUGCCCACGGCAGGAGUUGGGGCUGGGUCGGCUUUGAGCUCCCCUCCAGCCCAAACCGUUCUGUGAUUCUAUGAAAGAUGUCCCUCCCCAGUUUUUUUAUCAGCAAGGAAUCCUCCUACCUCGGCAUCUGAUUUUCCUCAUCAAGUCACAGUGCUCUGCUUGCAAAUUGCAAUUAAUCACUAUGGAGACUGUUGCAAAGUCACCAGUUUGGGAUUGGUCUUUCAGCUGAGCACUAAGCAACAGGUGCUGGGUGGCUUUGAGGAAAGCUCUUUAUUCACACUGAGGUGCAUUGUCUGAAGAUGAGGAAAGAUUUUCCUUGCAGCUAAAAAUAAUCAGAGAAUCAGAGGAUAAUGAAGGUUGGAAAAGACCUCUGGGAUCACCCAGUUCAACCAUCAGCCUACCCCCCCAUGCCCACUGCCCACGUCCCUCAGUGCCACAUCCACACGGCUCUUCAACACCUCCAGGGAUGGUGACUCCACCACCCCCCUGGGUAGCCUGUGCCACUGCCUCACUGCUCUUAAAUAAUGGCAUGAGCUGGGGGGGAUUUCCUGAAGUGGAAGAAACCUCGUGACAUGGAUACAACCCUGUGGCUCAUGGAGAGAGCGGGAGUCAGUGCUGGUUUGGAAGGUCUGCAUUCACAUCCGUCAACAGUAAGAGCUCUACAUGCUCCAGCUGCAGCCAUAGGCCAUCUCCAGCCUGGCUCUUCAGACUGUGAGGCCUGAGCAAGAGCAUCUCGCAUCACUCUCCCCACUGCUCUCGGCACAACAGUGAGGGAGUCAGGAUGCUGCUCUGCACGGACCUGUUCUGAAGCUGAGACCAGCACGUACCUGAGAGCUAUGGUUCCUUUCCUUGUGCCCGCACGCACACAGACUGGGGCUGCAGUCAGCUGGAGGGGUUUUAAAGCAUCUUUCUGGAGAGCAGACCUAAAUAUGUCAUCCAUUCCAUUUGGAAAUGAGGGCAGCAGCUCUGAGAAAAAGCAGACAGUGGGCAUCCGUGGGACUUGCCAGAUUAGAGACAAACUGCAUGAAAGCACUGUCAGCUCCUUGCUGAAUUUACACAGAUGCCCCUGCCCUGUCCCUGCCCCCUCUGCCAGCCAUCGCGUGACAUCGCAGCCAGUGGGGAAGGGCAGUGACAGCCACAGGUAAAGACUGCAUGGUGUUGUGCACCACUUUGGUGGCCUCCAGGAGCUGAAUCUAUGCUCUGACAGGCACUGUGCACAGCAGUGGUGGCGAAUAAGUGUGUCCAGAGGCACCUGGGGACAGCAAGGCAAGCAUUUUUAACCAGGUGCUGCUGAUGCAAAUCCAUCAGCACAGCCCCAGGUGGAACGCCCAUUGCAGUCAAAGGCUCAGUUCCUCACCCAGCAUCCAAGAAAGGACAAGAUGGGGGAGGGGGGGAGGGAAGUCACAUCCAGAAGCAUCCAUGGGUGAAAUAUUGAAAUGAAAUGCUGUGAAAGGGGCCCUUGGGGCUUGGGAAUAUAUCAUCUUUGUAAUGCACGAGACAAGCAGCCCUGCUCUGGGACUCUGCUUUGCCCCAGUUCCAUUACUGUGGAUGUACAGUAAGGACAGCAGAUGUAGACCCCAAAUAAUCCUCCCAUUUCAGCAAGGAGUGCUGGUUCAGAAGAGAAAUGCGUAACGCAUCUGCUAGAACAGGUAAGGCAUGGUUCUGAAAGCAUCAAUUCCACCUGUUUUCCAAGAGUAGAACUUGUUUCAGUUCUGGGGAAAGGGUCAGACACAUCCUCAUCUAAAUCCAUGCCUUAAGAUUUGGGCUGUGUGUCACUGGAGUUAAAAUAUCCCCAGAAAACCACGGGGCCCUGUUACGUAUCCCCAUUUUUAUCUGGGUUGUACUAAAAAUGUAUAUUAAAUUGUAAUCAUUUAGCAAUGUUUCCGCACACACAAAAUUCUCUUGGCUACAUAUAUAGCAUCAUCCAGUACACAUUGUUUUGGCAGCUUUAUGUUCUUCAGCACUCUCACUGCCUGUGCACCUGUUUUUUUUUCACAUGGGGUUUGCCCCACUGCUGCCAACUGUGAUUCCUUACACCUUUGCACACGUUUACUGUGUCCUCAUUCUCCCACACACAAGAAAAAGAGAUUGUGCUGCCUCCGUGAGCCUGCACAUGAAAGUCUGAGCAAGAUCUGCUGUGAGGGCUGAGGCAGAGCAUUGCUGAAGCAAGCAUGUGUUUGCUCCUUGGAAAGUGACAGUCAAUAAAUGUAAGAAGAACCAUCGUGGAGGAAGUGGCAGCAUGGAAGAUGUUUCUGGUGGUACGGAUGUAGGAUGAGUUGUCACGGAGGGUAACCUCUUGUUUCCCAUGCAGAAGCUUGUGCAGGGCAGGUGAUGGACACGUUGCAGGCCCCAAACUGCAGAGCUGGCCUCAGAGUAUGUCAGGUGCUUCCUGGAAUAACACUUAGGUCCAUGUGAGGUGGAAAAGGUUUUUUCAUCCCAGAUCACAAAUCUGUCUGUCCAUCCAACUGUUAGUCUCUCCCAAAUGAGAUCUGAACCCUCCUGCUGCUUUCGACAAAAGAAGGUCUCCAAAAUCCCAAAUUCCCACAGGUCUCUCAUCAGGUAGAGAAGGAAACACAAAGCAACUCAGUGAGGCACACAGGAAAUGCACGUGCAAGAUCAUGGUCUUGGCAAAUUGGGAAGAAAUUGCCCUGGAGCAGGUAGAGGUGGUGGGGGGGGGGGGGCAAGGAGGGGCAGAAUUGUGUUGUCUAAGAACCAACCCCGUGAUGUUUCGGUCUGUAAAGGAUUGAAGCUGUUUAGAAAUAAAGCUUCUGGUGGCUUUCCUUGUCUUUGUUUUAGAUUGUGUAUUAUCUGUUGUACCAAGGGACAUGGUUCAGUGGUGAAGUGUCGGUGGCAGGUGGACAGUUGGACUGGGUGAUCUUGGAAGUCUUUUCCAACCUUGAUGAUUCUAUGAUUCUACAAUUUUAUCUUUACAGGUAGCAGGAAAUACAGUGAAUUUGGGGAUUUUUACAUUUGUUAGGAAUGCAGUUCCUACAAAUGUGAAUUAAGAAGUUUCUUCAAGAUGACAAAAAUGCAAUAGUCCUUUUUGUAGAGUAUUAAUCAACAUUUUGAAACGGGGUCAGCACCUUGCCUUUAACCAGUAGACCUCUUGUUUCUCCUCUCUCAGGUAUUUCACUGCCCAGCAUCAGCAGCCUCACCACAAGGAGGUUCAGAUGAACUCCGAGUUCUAUUUUAGGCUCAGCCUCAACACCCUUUCUUUCUAGCAGCAGCUAAUUACUCGUAACUAAAUAAUAGAAGGCAUCACAUUACGAGCUUCAUCUGAUGCUAAAUAUUUAAAAGACUCAAACUGAUGUAAGCCAGCUUCCCCCCGCACACAUCUGGAAGCCAUCUUCAUGAAAGACAAGUACGUGUAAUACACAUAGGUCCCAGGAAACACAUGCCGAUGCCUGUGUCUUAGGAAUGAGUGCUCAAGAAGCUCAUUUGAUAGAAACCUGCUGCAAAUGUGGUGAGG